CCCGCCGCUGCCCUCCCAGCCGCACCGUGGAGAUGGGCCCCCGGGAUGGACCACGCGCGCCUAACCACGAGCACCACUCACCCUGCACAGCCGCCACGAAUCCCAGCACUUCAGUAACCCCUUCGCUGCCCUCGCUGCCGCUAUCAACACUCUUCUACUCCCAGACCCCCCCUAAAACGGACACUUCCGUCCUCUGCUUAACAAACCGGAAGGAAGCCUAGUCACCAUUGUCGGCGGACCGAGUGGGCCUGACUUAAUAGAAAGACGACGGGUGGGGGGAGUUGCCAGUGUGCUGGAAGAACGCAAUUUUGAACGCGUGCACAGGAAGGAGCAUAGAACAGGCGACUUAGAACAUAGAAGAAUGUGUAAUGAGCCCCUAUUAACAGGGGGAGACGGGACCUGACUAGGAGGGAAGACAGUCGACCAGCAAGAGCUAACUAAAUCUUGCCCCUCUCUCACUAUGAAGUGGAGCUGCAGCUUCAUGAAAAUAGGAAUAAAGAGUCCGGCCUGUGUUUUCUCAGCUCUCCUUUUCUUGGACAGCUUCUAACAGUGCAUCUUGUUAAAAGAAAGCCCGCCCCAGUUCUGUCCUUUUCCAUCCAAAGUCUGGUGAGGAAGACGGUGGUGCUGGUCACCUCAGCUCUCUGAGCUCUGCUACAGAAGGAGUGAGUUGGAUCCGAUAAUACUCAGACUCAUCAUCCCACCACUGGGGUUCAAUGCCUAGUUUGACUCACGUGGCCAGAACAGUUCUGACUUUGGGGGUGGCUAUGGUUCUGGCCUCUCACUUGAAUCACCCUGCUAAAAAGAAGGUAAACGCUUCAGAAUAAUGUAUUCUAAAUGUUAAUAAACUACAAUUUCAAGGAC